CUAUGGCUAGCAGUAAACCCAAGCCACUCAUAUAACUGCCUGCCCCGCCAGAGAACUACAAGUGAAAAACUUAAAACUCAAAGGACUUGACGGUGUCUCACAUCACCCUAGAGGAGCCUGUCCUAUAAUCGAUAACCCACGUUCAACCCGACCUGCCCUUGAACUAACAGUCCAGUCUAUAUACCGCCGCCUUCAGCCCACCUUAUGAAAGAACCAUAGUGAGCCCAACAGCCGCCGCUAAAACGUCAGGUCAAGGUGUAACUAAUGGGCAGGAAGAGAUGGGCUACAUUUUCUGUAACCAGAAAACCAAAAACCUCACGAACCAGAUGUCAAAAGCCGGAUUUAGCAGUAAACCGAGCAAGCCUGCCCGCUUGAACCACGCCCUGAGACACGUACAC
rnacentral:rRNA from 1 species